rnacentral:rRNA from 1 species
GGAUGUGUCGUAGCAAUACGAGAAAAGGCCCGCAAGGGGUCGCCAGAGGACGGGUCCGCGUCCCCAUCAGCUAGUUGGUGAGGUAAUGGCUCACCAAGGCGAAAGACGGGUAGCUGGUCUGAGAGGAUGAUCAGCCACACUGGAACUGAGACACGGUCCAGACUCCUACGGGAGGCAGCAGUGGGGAAUAUUGCGCAAUGGGCGAAAGCCUGACGCAGCCACGCCGCGUGAGCGAUGAAGGUCUUCGGAUCGUAAAGCUCUGUGGGGGAGAAGAAGAAAGUCGGUGAAGAGCCGGCCCUGACGGUAUCCCCUUAGCAAGCACCGGCUAACUCCGUGCCAGCAGCCGCGGUAAUACGGAGGGUGCAAACGUUGCUCGGAAUCAUUGGCGUAAAGACGCGCGUAGGCGGCUGAACAAGUUGGAUGUGAAGCCUGGCUCAACCUAGGAUGUG